rnacentral:rRNA from 1 species
CAAUACGGAAGGUACACGAGUGGCGCACGGGUGCGUAACGCGUAUGUAAUCUGCCCUUGACCGGAACAAAACAGCUGGAAACGGCUGCUAAUAUUCCAUGGUCAUUUUCGGAGGCAUCUCUGGGGAUGUAAAGAUUUAUUGGUCAAGGAUGAGCAUGCGUAUUAUUAGAUAGUUGGUGGGGUAACGGCCCACCAAGUCGACGAUGAUUAGGGGUUCUGAGAGGAUUAACCCCCACACUGGAACUGAGACACGGUCCAGACUCCUACGGGAGGCAGCAGUAGGGAAUAUUGGGCAAUGGAAGGAAUUCUGACCCAGCCAUGCCGCGUGAAGGAAGACGGUCCUAUGGAUUGUAAACUUCUUUUAUCGCAGAGUAAAUUGGGGCACGUGUGCCCCAUUGAGAGUAUGCGAUGAAUAAGUAUCGGCUAACUCCGUGCCAGCAGCCGCGGUAAUACGGAGGAUACGAGCGUUAUCCGGAUUUAUUGGGUUUAAAGGGUGCGCAGGCGGAUCGGUAAGUCAGGGGUGAAAAGUUCGUGCUUAACAUGAAUCGUGCCUUUGAUACUGCCGGACUAGAGUGCAAUAGACGUGGGCGGAAUGUGAUGUGUAGCGGUGAAAUGCUUAGAUAUGUCACAGAACACCGAUCGAGAAGUCAGCUCACGAGUUUGCAACUGACGCUCAUGCACGAAAGCGUGGGGAUCAAACAGGAUUAGAUACCCUGGUAGUCCACGCUGUAAACGAUGAUCACUCGUUGUUGGCCGGCGACGGUCAGUGGCCAAGCGAAAGCGAUAAGUGAUCCACCUGGGGAGUACGAUCGCAAGGUUGAAACUCAAAGGAAUUGACGGGGGCCCGCACAAGCGGAGGAGCAUGUGGUUUAAUUCGAUGUUACGCGAGGAACCUUACCCGGGCUUGAACGUAAGACGACGACGCAGGAGACUGCGUUUCCUUCGGGCGUUUUGCGAGGUGCUGCAUGGUUGUCGUCAGCUCGUGCCGUGAGGUGUUAGGUUAAGUCCUGCAACGAGCGCAACCCUUACUUUUAGUUGCCAGCAUGUAAAGAUGGGGACUCU